GAUGAAGAACGUAGCGAAAUGCGAUAAGUAAUGUGAAUUGCAGAAUUCAGUGAAUCAUCGAAUCUUUGAACGCACCUUGCACUCCUUGGUAUUCCGAGGAGUACGCCUGUUCGAGUGUUAUGAAGCUCUCAAAACGCAAUUGGCUUAAAACCUGAUUGUUGUUUUGGAUUUGAACUUUGCCGUGUUAUAACGGCUGGUUUUAAAAGUAUUAGCUGGUACUAGAACGAAUUGGUUCUACUCAACGUGAUAAUUAUCUGAUCGUUGAGGACAUUCCUUUCACGAGGAAUGGCCAUAGUAAAUUCAAUGGACUGCUUCUAAUCUGGCUUUAAUUCUGUAUUGGAUUAACCACUUUUCAAAUCUGACCUCGAAUCAGGUGGGACUACCCGCUGAACUUAAGCAUAUCAAUAAGCGGAGGA
rnacentral:misc_RNA from 1 species